CUCAGUGUUACUCAUGCUGCCUCCAUCCCUGGUGCCCUCUCUGUAUCUCUGUGCCUUUGUGCACACUGCUUCCUCUGCCUGGAAGCCCUUCUUCCUUUCUCCACACAACACAUCCCUCCUUACUCAUUAAAGUCCCGUACAAAUGCUAAAGGCAGCUGAUCUUGUCAGCAAACUUGGCCACCAAAUAGAAAAUCUCCUUCUAUGCCCACUAGUCAUGGACAAAACUCAAAAGUUGCAUGGGAACUUCAGUUAUCGGGCAAUGUUACCAGGGUUUGGGGCAGAAGGAACAGAUAAAAGGGACAAUUCUAAGGAAGAUGAUUGAAAGACUGACCCCAAUGUGGAGAGGAUGAUUCCAGCACUACUCGUACUGCACUAGGACCUGGUAAGGGCAGUAAUAAUGAAGACAAAACUUUUGUUACUGGGAUUUAGAAGAAGGCUUUCCUGCAAGCACCAAAUGGCUAUGCAAGUGCCCUCACAGACACACCCAGGAUCAAUACUUUGUAUCCUUCAAUCCAAUCAAGUUGACACUCGGUAUUAACCAUCACAAUGAUUUAUCAAAGGCACACAUCUAUUGGAUCAAUUUAUUUUUACAAAAUGCAAAUUGCAAGAGGGCAGAUAAAUGGUUCAUUCUGUUUCUAUUCACCGUUUCAUCGCAGGAAUGGAAGCAUAAUAGGCUCUCAGAACAUUUUUGUUCAGUGUUCAAUUGAUGAACAUAGGAGAGAGCUCAGGCUAACUUGGAAGUCAUUUAUGUGUAAGCACAGGGCAACUGGUUGUUACAGAAAAGAGAACAUUCAAGAAAUCAUGGAGGUGGAAUACAGGAACCUGGGCACCACAUACGCAGAUUACGUGUUGCUCCGGGUUCUUUUGCCUUGACUUCAUAUCUGCCCCCUCAGUCUCUCCAGGAUACAAUGUGGAAAACAUGGCCACUGACAGGUUGGCAUAACUGCCAGAAUAGCUUUAUUCAUCAGAAAGACAGGGACUGUCCUACUUACUACCAGUUCUAAAAUCCCUAGAAAAAGACUGCUAUUAGACUGGCUUUUCAAUGGCGGGUACCAACCCUUUAUCCAAUCCAUUGUGAUCGGCGUAGGAAGUCUCAUGAGUACAGUGAGAAUGCACUCCAGCCUGCCUAGAAUGGUCCUGUUUACAACUCUCAGCCUAACUUAUCAUCCACAGCACCCUCCCUCACUCUCAAAUAACGUGCUCUAGUUUAGGUGAUAAAUUAUAGAGUACUUCCACAUGAACAAAAUGAUCCUUUCAUGGUCACCAUGCAGUUGGUGGUUGACUUCUAGAAAUAUGCUUGGGGUGGCAGGAGUAGAAGGUGGCUGGAAACCUAAGAUGACCAAAAGGUGGGAGCACCCUUCAGGAAGCCAAUUGCCUGUGUCCAUCCCUCUGUGCCUGCCAUCCCUAGUGCACCUCUUCCAGACACGACACCCAGAGUUAGGCAGCAGAGCCUGGCAUACUUCAAGAUUCACCCAGAGGUGUGCUGAUCUCUUGAAAGCCUCCCUCUUCUCAUGAUACCACAGGUAGGGGACUGGGUCAGUGGUAAAUUAUAGAAUGAGUAUCCACCUGAGACUCUCAGCUAACUGUCUCCUCUACUUUAAGGAUUUUCCUCCCUUUGACAAGCCCUGCACUUGGAUUUCUCCCGAGUGAAAUACUUGGUGAGGGUUUCACUGACAGGCUUCUUCCCAGGCCCCAGGAUGAUCUUAAGAUUCCUGGAAAUAAACUAAGAAGUAAAUUUAAGGCAGCAUCUUGCACUUUCAUCUAAUUCCUUACCGAAAAUGUGUGAACCUGAAGGCAACUCAAAAUUCUGAGUGAAUUUCCAGACUUUUCUUGGAAGUGACAAGAAAGCAACCACAGGCACCACCCAGUCAGCAUACAGACAUUUGCAGCUUUCUCCCUUCAUUUGCAUUGUUUUCUUUAACACUUUUCCGCCCUCAUUUUUCAUUUG
rnacentral:lncRNA from 1 species